rnacentral:misc_RNA from 1 species
GCAUCCCCAGAUUCCAACUGCUUUGCUCUUCACAGCAAACUUGCCACAGAACUCGCAGAAGUACUUGGAGUGCUGGGAAACCUCCAUCUUCUUGAUCUGCUUACGCAAACUGGCACCAUACCUAGUACCAUAUUUGCCAACAAUUCCAGCCUUCUUGGUGCGCUUCGUCAUCUCGUCGACGGGGGCUGGAACGGAGGCGUCUGCGGCAAGCGGCGGCGAGGUCG